UUUUAGUGCUGGGGGUGUCCUUUGUGGCUGAGAGAAGUUUUUAAAGCUUUAACCCUUUGAACCUGAUGCGGAUAACACCGACGAAGGAAAGCUUGUUUCACAUGUA
rnacentral:ncRNA from 2 species